AGACUGGCCAGCCUGCCUCGAGCUGUAGACUGGCCAGCCUGCCUCGAGCUGUAGACUGGCCAGCCUGCCUCGAGCUGUAGACUGGCCAGCCUGCCUCUGAAUUGUCUGUCCUUUCUCGUAAUGUGUGCAUUUGUCCACUUCCUUUCAUGGAUUUAAAGGAAAUUACUGGUUUAAGAAAUAUGAUGGAAAGACUCUCUCUGUAUACAGUGGACACCAAUCUAACCCAACGCUUUUAAAUGAGCGGGGAGGAGUACACAAUUGCACACUUUUUAAGGGAUAGGAGGGAUAAUUGUGUUUCAGAGUGGGUCUCUUGAGGUGAAGUUGUCUUAAAGGGGCUUUUGUCUUUUCCAUUAUAAUCAGUGCUGAUGGGGAGGUGUGUUAAUAGCAGGGUUGACUGUAAUGUUCUUCAGGAUAUUUUUUUUAACAACCAUGUCAGUGCAAUAAUUGUCUUUAUGGCAAGGGUUACUAAAAUGUGACAAGAAUUUUUAGGGAUCAAGAAGAUCUAGUUUAAAGUUUUGUCACAUGCACAAGUACAGUGAAAAGCUUGACUUGCACGCUCUACCCAACAGUGCAGUAAUCAAUAUCAAAAUAGUAUAACUCAUUUUUUUAUAUGUGUGUGUGUGUGUGUGUGUGUGUGUGUGUAUAUACUGAACAAAAAAUAUAAACGCAACGAUUUUACUGAGUUACAGUUAUAAGGAAAUCAGUCAAUUGAAAUAAAUUCAUUAGGCCAUAAUCUAUGGAUUUCACAUGACUGGUUAGGGACACAGCCAUGGGUGAGCCUGGGAGGGCAUAGGCCCACCCACUUGGGAACCAGGUCCAGCCAGUCGGAAGAAGUUUUUUUUCUUUUUCCCCACCGAAGUGCUUUAUUGCAGACAGAAAUACUCCUCAGCAAGCCCCCCCCGUCAAUCCCGCAGGUGAAGAAGCUGGAUGUGGAGGUCCUGGGCUGGCGUGGUUACAGGUGGUCUGUGGUUGUGAGGCUGGUUGGACGUACUGCCAAAUUCUCUAAAAUGAAGGAGGCGGCAUAUGGUAGUGAAAUUAACAUUAAAUUCUCUGGCAACAGUUCUGGUAGAUAUCCCCGCAGUCAGCAUGCCAAUUGCAAGCUCCCUCAAUUUGAGACAUCUGUGGCAUUGUGUUGUGACAAAACUGCACAUUUAAGUGGCCUUUUGUCCCCAGAACAAGUUGCACUUGUGUAAUGAUAAUGCUGUUUAAUCAGCUUCUUGAUAUGCCACACCUGUCAGGUGUAUGGAUUAUCUUGGCAAAUGAGAAAUGCUCACUAACAGGAAUGUAGACAAAUUUCUGCACAAAAUUUGAGAUAUAAACUUCUCGUGCAUAUGGAAAAUCUGCGAUCUUUUAUUUCAGCUCAUGAAACAUGGGACCAACACUUUACAUGUUGCGUUUAUAUUUUUGUUCAGUGUAAUAAAGAAAACACAUGGCCAGGGGUUAGAAGCUGAUGAUGUCUGUUUGUCUGAGCCUUGAUGGACCAGUAUCAUCUUCUCAGUCACCGCCUGGCAUGUACGUCCUGGAUGGCUGGGAGCUCACCCGCAAUGAUGAGCUGGAACGGUCCGUACCACCCUCUGUAGGGCCUUCCGGUCGAGGGCGGUGUAGUUGCUAUAUCAGACGCUUAUACAACCAGUCAGGAUGUUCUCGAUGGUGCAGCUGUAAAAGUUCCUAAGGAUCUGAUGGGCUAUGCCAAAUCAUUUCAGCCUCCAGAGGGAGAAGAGGCACUGCGGUGCCUUCUUUACGACUAUGCUGUUGUAGGAGGACAAUGAUAAGUCUUCAGUGAUGUAGACACAGGAACUUGAAGCUCUUGACCCUCUUCACUGCAGUCCCGUUGAUGGGGCCCCUCUUUCCUGAAUUCCAAGAUCAGCUCAUUGGUCUUGCUGACAUUUAGGGCGAGGUUGUUGUGCUGACCUCUUCCCUGUAGGGUUUCCCAAAUGCGGUCCUUGGGACCACAAGGGGUGCAAGUUUUGGUUUUUGCCCUAGCACUGCACAGCUGAUUAGUUGAUUAUUUUGAUAAUCAAGUUUUGAUCAUUUAAAUCAGCUGUGUAGUGUUAGGGCAAAAACCAGAAUGUGCACCCCUUGGGGUCCCAAGGACCGAGUUUGGGAAGCGCUGCUGUAGGCUGUCUCAUCGUCAUUGGUGAUCAGGCAGACCACAGUCGUGUCGUUAGCAAACUUGAUGAUGGAGUUGGAGGCGAGCAAUGAUUGGGGGGGGGGGCCCUGUGUUGAGGGUCAGCUUGUUGGGUGUGUUGUUGCCUAACCUCACCACCUGAUGUCAGUCUGUCAAGAAGUCCAGGAUUCAGUUGCAUAGGGAGGUGUUCAGUCCCAGGGUCCUGAGCUUGGUGACGAGCUAUAAUAUGCUUACAUGUUACUUUUAGUGAUUGAUUACGUUUUGAGCUUCUGAUCAUCAAUUAUUCAAAAGGCCUUUAAAAAAUACAAUGUUUAUGGUUGUGGCUUUUAAGUGUUCCUCAAUGAUUUCCACUUGAAAUGAUAUCGUAGUUAGCCAGGACAGUGCAUUUAUUAAAAAGGGAAAUGUAUUUCUAGUACUUUACAACUGCACUUUCAGAUGAAAUAUUUGUGUACCUUAACUUUUAGGUAUAUUAUUGCUGAUUAUUUUGCCGCCAUUGUAAUUACCUUUUUUCUGCAGCAAACCUAUCUGAAAAAAUAUUAACCAGACAAGUCCCAAUACGUCUUGUACUGUUUGUUUGAGUAAAUCAACUUCUUUCAUAGCCUUUGUAAUGGCAUUGCAUCAUAUGCCUUUGUAUUCCAGCAAUCAUUAUUUUACAGUAUGACUUUUUAUUUUGCUCUCUCUCUUUGUAGAAGAUGAGGCAGCUUCUUCUCUGUGACAUUUAAAAUGUAAUUUCAAUAACACACAUCACAAUUCCAUUGCUCACAUUUGUUCUAAUGCUUAACAGUUGGAAAUGUAGAUAUUUGUAACAUAAAUAACAACAGUGUAAUGUCUAAGUGUUACUGAUUUAUGUCUGGUGUGUGAUAAGAUAAAGUUACUGAAUUUGACAUAUAUGCAGCAUUAGAGUGCUAAGGGCCUAUCAUAGAAAGACAACCAGUUGCAGUAAUCAUUUUUGGGAAAAAUACCAACAGUCUUAGGCUGGUCCUGAGAGAUUUUGCAGCAACACAUUAUGUGAAUUGUCUUAUUCGAUGUAGAUGCCACCAAACAUGCACACAAAUCAAUGACUAUUUAGCCUGUAAGGUUGAAUAUAAUGUAUGUUACAUUGUCUGAGAUGCUAGACCAGGCAUAGAUCUACACAUGUAUAGUAACUCCACCACCUCUUUGUCAUAUUUAGCUUUCAUACUUGUCAUAUUGACUGUAAACAAUAACAAAACAAGAGUCUGAAAUGUGUUAGCAGUGUUUGUUGAAUGUCUAAAAGGGAAUUGUCAAGCAGUUUACUAAUAAAUAAAUAAAAAUAUUGAAGGAA
rnacentral:lncRNA from 1 species